UAAAAAUAAAAUUGUUGUUAUUUAAUAUUGUUGCAUUUAUUGUUGGAUAAACCAAAAUUAUGUAAAGUUUGUAAUAAGUGUUUUAGGGAAUCGGAAGAAAAUCCCAGACCGCGUCCUUUUAAAUUUCUACCGGAUAAAGGACAAAUUCAAAAACUUAUCUUCGGCGGUUCUUAUUCUGAAGUUUCGGGAAUUAUUUUCGUCUUCGAUGUCGUCGAUUUAGCUUUUAAAGUAAUUCGUGAAGAUAAACAUACUCUUGAUUAUCCGAAAAAAUUUCUUCCUUGAGAAUUAUCUAUUAUCAGACAUCUUCACCAUCCGAACAUGCAGUCCACUUCCAGUCGAAAGAGACAAAAACCGAGAUUUAUCUGGUGAUUGCAAAACUCUUGUACGCAAUAUUCUGACCUGAAGAUUUUAGAGUAAAAAUGAAGGAAAUCGAGAAUAGUGUUUGAUGUAGGCCUAAUUCAAAAUGGAAUUCCAAGUGGAACGAAGAGUCUCGCGCGGAAAAGUGCUACGAAGAGAAAUACAAUGUCGGGACCUUCAUAUACACGUAACGAUUCCAGAAACAAAUUCGAAGAAUACCUCCAAGCAAUGUCAUCGAAAGUGUAUAAGAAAUAAAUUUAAAUUUAUGAAUACAAACUGAAAAAAUAAUAAAGAAUAAAAAGCAUUUUAAAUGUAUGAUAUUAAUUAAU